GGAUUCAUACGUUGGUCGGGCUUUUUGGUCUGUACUGGCGUAAUGGAUUCCUACCUUCUGAAUAACCGGCAUGUCAUUAAUUUGGUGCGCCGGGGAAGCAGGACUGUUACCUUGAAAAAAUUAGAGUGCUCAAAGCAAGCCUACGCUCUGUAUACAUUAGCAUGGGAUAACAUCAUAGGAUUUCGGUCCUAUUACGUUGGCCUUCGGGAUCGGAGUA
rnacentral:rRNA from 1 species